GUGAAUCAUCGAAUCUUUGAACGCAAAUUGCACUCUCCGGUUUUCCGGGAGAGUAUGCCUGUUUGAGGGUCAGCCUAAAAAAAAUCGACAUUGUUGCUGUUUUAUGGUGACUUUCGUCGGAGAUGGGUUAUCUUAAAUCUCGGUUUAAGCGACUUAAAAAUUUUUUUUCGGUUUCUAGGAUUGUUCCUAGGUUUUUUCUGUUACUUUUAGGUU
rnacentral:misc_RNA from 1 species